AUACUUGCUUGGCAGGGGAAAUACCAUUGUAUAUAAUGGUGGUUUUCCCAGGGUGAGGUUUAUCUAAUGAACUUCAUAUGCGCUGACCCCCACAAUUUCCCCCAAAUGUGGAAAACUCAACUGCAUAUUUGUGGUAGUGGGAAAGUGUGUUUGCACUCUCCCUU